CAAUAGCGUAUAUUAAAGUUGUUGCAGUUAAAAAGCUCGUAGUUGGAUUUGUGGCGUACGACGGGCUCCGGGCACUUGUUGUCUGAGUAGCUUGUCGUUGCCAUCCUUGGGUGGAACCUGUGUGGUAUUAGGUUGUCGUGCAGGGGAUGCCCAUCUUUUACUGUGAAAAAAUUAGAGUGUUCAAAGCAGGCUUAUGCCGUUGAAUAUAUUAGCAUGGAAUAAUAAGAUAGGACUUUGUCGCUAUUUUGUUGGUUUGCGCGAUAAGGUAAUGAUUAAUAGGGACAGUUGGGGGUAUUCGUAUUCCAUUGUCAGAGGUGAAAUUCUUGGAUUUUUGGAAGACGAACUACUGCGAAAGCAUUUACCAAGGACGUUUUCAUUAA
rnacentral:rRNA from 1 species